AGUGUAGAUUCUAGAGUUUGAUCCUGGCUCAGGACGAACGCUGGCGGCGUGCUUCAUACAUGCAAGUCGAACGAGAAUUCACCUUCGGUGGAGGACAGUGGCGGACGGGUGAGUAAAAUGUAGAGAAUCUGCCCUAGAGAGGGGGACGAACAGAGGGAAACUUCUGCUAAUACCCCAUAUGCGCGUAGCUGAGAUGCUAUUCGUGAAAACUCCGGUGCUCUAGGAUGAGUCUGCAUCUGAUUAGCUAGUUGGGGGUGUAAUGGACCACCAAGGCGACGAUCAGUAGCUGGUUUGAGAGGAUGAUCAGCCACAAUGGGACUGAGACACGGCCCAU
rnacentral:rRNA from 1 species